UGGGGAAUAUUGCACAAUGGGGGAAACCCUGAUGCAGCGACGCCGCGUGAACGAAGAAGGUAUUCGUAUCGUAAAGUUCUGUCCUAUGGGAAGAUAAUGACAGUACCAUUGAAGAAAGCUCCGGCUAAAUACGUGCCAGCAGCCGCGGUAAUACGUAUGGAGCGAGCGUUGUCCGGAAUUAUUGGGCGUAAAGGGUACGCAGGCGGUUUAAUAAGUCGAAUGUUAAAGAUCGGGGCUCAACCCCGUAAAGCAUUGGAAACUGAUAAACUUGAGUAGUGGAGAGGAAAGUGGAAUUCCUAGUGUAGUGGUGAAAUACGUAGAUAUUAGGAGGAAUACCAGUAGCGAAGGCGACUUUCUGGACACAAACUGACGCUGAGGUACGAAAGCGUGGGGAGCAAACAGG
rnacentral:rRNA from 1 species